AACCGCAAACCUAAACAGUUAACCAAAUAAAACUGCUCGCCAGAGUACUACCAGCAACGGCCCAAAACUCAAAGGACUUGGCGGUGCUUCACACCCCCCUAGAGGAGUCUGUUCUAUAAUCGAUAAACCCCGAUACACCUUACCACCUCUUGCCAACCCAGCCUGUAUACCGCCAUCUUCAGCAAACCCCUCCAGGGUACAAAAGUAAGCCCAAGAAUCCACAUAAAAACGUUAGGUCAAGGUGCAGCCCAUGAGAUGGAAGAAAUGGGCUACAUUUUCUAAUCCAGAACAAUUCACCCACGACAACCUUCAUGAAAACUGAAGGCCAAAGGAGGAUUUAGCAGUAAAUUAAGAAUAGAGAGCUCAAUU
rnacentral:rRNA from 1 species